CUAAGUUUCAACAACGGAUCUCUUGGCUCUCGCAUCGAUGAAGAACGCAGCGAAAUGCGAUAAGUAAUGUGAAUUGCAGAAUUCAGUGAAUCAUCGAAUCUUUGAACGCACCUUGCGCUCCUUGGUAUUCCUUGGAGCAUGCCUGUUUGAG
rnacentral:rRNA from 1 species